rnacentral:rRNA from 1 species
UACGUAGGGACCAAGCGUUGUUCGGAUUUACUGGGCGUAAAGGGCGCGUAGGCGGCAAUCCAAGUCAGUUGUGAAAUCUCCGAGCUUAACUCGGAACGGUCAACUGAUACUGUUUUGCUAGAGUACAGAAGGGGCAAUCGGAAUUCUUGGUGUAGCGGUGAAAUGCGUAGAUAUCAAGAGGAACACCUGAGGUGAAGACGGGUUGCUGGGCUGAUACUGACGCUGAGGCGCGAAAGCUAGGGUAGCAAACGGG